UUACGGUCAAAUCACGCUGAAAUACCGGUUCUCGUACGAUCACCGAAGUUAAACCAGGUAGAGCCAGGUCAGUACUUAGAUGGGGGACCGC